UACGGAGGGUGCAAGCGUUGCUCGGAAUCACUGGGCGUAAAGGGCGUGUAGGCGGUUUCGUAUGUCUGGCGUGAAAGCCCCGGGCUCAACCCGGGAAGUGCGUUGGAAACUGCGAAACUAGAGUCUCGGAGAGGAAGGUGGAAUUCCCGGUGUAGUGGUGAAAUGCGUAGAUAUCGGGAGGAACACCAGUGGCGAAGGCGACUUUCUGGCCUGUUCUUGACGCUGAGGCGCGAAAGCUAGGGGAGCAAACGGG
rnacentral:rRNA from 1 species